AGUGAACGCUGGCGGUAGGCCUAACACAUGCAAGUCGAACGGCAGCACAGUAAGAGCUUGCUCUUACGGGUGGCGAGUGGCGGACGGGUGAGGAAUACAUCGGAAUCUACUUUUUCGUGGGGGAUAACGUAGGGAAACUUACGCUAAUACCGCAUACGACCUACGGGUGAAAGCAGGGGAUCUUCGGACCCUGCGCGAGUGAAUGAGCCGAUGUCGGAGUAGCUAGUUGGCGGGGUAAUGGCCCACCAAGGCGAUGACGGGUAGCCGGUCUGAGAGGGUGGCCGGCGACAUGGGGACUGAGAUACGGCCCAGACUCCUACGGGAGGCAGCAGUGGGGAAUAUUGCAGAAUGGGCGGAAGCCUGAUGCAGCAACGCAGCGUGCGGGAUGACGGCCUUCGGGUUGUAAACCGCUUUCGCCUGUGACGAAGCGUGAGUGACGGUAACGGGUAAAGAAGCAACGGCUAACUACGUG
rnacentral:rRNA from 1 species